UCACCGGUGAUUCGUAAUUUCACCAUGAUCCGCUAGGUGGUCCUCCCAGGGCGAGGCCUAACCAUUGCACUUCUGUUGGGCUGACCCCUGCGAUCGCCCCAAAUGUGGGAUACUCGAGUACGAAAUGUUUUAGUGUGGGGAUCUGCGUUCGCGCUAACCCCCG
rnacentral:snRNA from 1 species